CAUAAAAUAAGUAAUGUAGUAACAUAAUAUACAUAUAACCUAAUAAUGUUUAAACUAUUGUAUUAUCUUUUAAAAAUAAUUAACUUGUUAUGUAAAUAUUUUUGAGUUUCAUGUACUGUUUCACCGUCUUUUAAGAUUUCUAUUUUUUAAGAUAAAAGGUCUAUAACUUAAGCAAAUACUCCCAGGACUUGGGGAACUAUUCUACUUUCCUAUCAUUUAUGACUGUUUUAUCCUUUUUAUUUCUCACAGUUUGUAAAUUUUCUGCAACUGCUAAUUCCACUUUGUCGGUAGUUUGUUUCACCACUUUGGCUUCCUCCCAUUUUAUAUUUAUAUUAUUCUGGUAUGGUUUUGUUGCUAAGGCUGUUACUGUGUUGCCUGUCCUUAUGUUCCUUUUGUGCUCCGCUAAUCUGCUUCUCAAGUUUCUAUAUGUCACUCUUACAUAAACCUCUUGGAAAAACAGGUCUGCUCAGUGGUGCUGAUUUCCAUGAUUUUGAUUUACCAUGAUUCUAAUGAGAAACAAACUGGAAAGUUUCAAUUUAUCUGAAAUCAUUAAUGGCUUCUUAUAGAGAAUUAUAUAAUAGCAUAGCCAAAACA
rnacentral:lncRNA from 1 species